rnacentral:rRNA from 1 species
UACGUAGGGGGCAAGCGUUGUCCGGAUUUAUUGGGCGUAAAGAGCGUGUAGGCGGCUUUACAGGUCCGUUGUGAAAACUCGAGGCUCAACCUCGAGACGCCGGUGGAAACCGUAAAGCUAGAGUCCGGAAGAGGAGAGUGGAAUUCCUGGUGUAGCGGUGAAAUGCGCAGAUAUCAGGAAGAACACCCGUGGCGAAGGCGGCUCUCUGGGACGGUACCGACGCUGAGACGCGAAAGCGUGGGGAGCGAACAGG